rnacentral:rRNA from 1 species
GGAUGGGGAUGCGUCCGAUUAGCUUGUUGGCGGGGUAACGGCCCACCAAGGCGACGAUCGGUAGGGGUUCUGAGAGGAAGGUCCCCCACAUUGGAACUGAGACACGGUCCAAACUCCUACGGGAGGCAGCAGUGAGGAAUAUUGGUCAAUGGGCGAGAGCCUGAACCAGCCAAGUAGCGUGCAGGACGACGGCCCUAUGGGUUGUAAACUGCUUUUAUGCGGGGAUAAAGUGGGGGAUGCAUCCCUUUUUGCAGGUACCGCAUGAAUAAGGACCGGCUAAUUCCGUGCCAGCAGCCGCGGUAAUACGGAAGGUCCGGGCGUUAUCCGGAUUUAUUGGGUUUAAAGGGAGCGUAGGCUGGAGAUUAAGCGUGUUGUGAAAUGCCGCGGCUCAACCGUGGCACUGCAGCGCGAACUGGUUUCCUUGAGUGCGCUGAAAGUGGGCGGAAUUUGUGGUGUAGCGGUGAAAUGCUUAGAUAUCACGAAGAACUCCGAUUGCGAAGGCAGCUCACUGUAUCGCGACUGACGCUGAAGCUCGAAAGUGCGGGUAUCGAACAGGAUUAGAUGCCCUGGUAGUCCGCACGGUAAACGAUGGAUGCCCGCUGUUCGGCCUUUAGGCUGAGUGGCCAAGCGAAAGCGUUAAGCAUCCCACCUGGGGAGUACGC